rnacentral:rRNA from 1 species
GGGUUGUGAGGUUAAGCGACUAAGCGUACACGGUGGAUGCCCUGGCAGUCAGAGGCGAUGAAGGACGUGCUAAUCUGCGAAAAGCGCCGGCGAGGUGAUAUGAACCUUUGACCCGGCGAUGUCCGAAUGGGGAAACCCAGUGUGAUUCGUCACACUAUCGUUAACUGAAUACAUAGGUUAACGAGGCGAACCGGGGGAACUGAAACAUCUAAGUACCCCGAGGAAAAGAAAUCAACCGAGAUUCCCCCAGUAGCGGCGAGCGAACGGGGAGCAGCCCAGAGUCUGAAUCAGCUUGUGUGUUAGUGGAAGCGUCUGGAAAGUCGCACGGUACAGGGUGACAGUCCCGUACACGAAAGCACACAGGCUGUGAACUCGAAGAGUAGGGCGGGACACGUGGUAUCCUGUCUGAAUAUGGGGGGACCAUCCUCCAAGGCUAAAUACUCCUGACUGACCGAUAGUGAACCAGUACCGUGAGGGAAAGGCGAAAAGAACCCCGGCGAGGGGAGUGAAAAAGAACCUGAAACCGUGUACGUACAAGCAGUGGGAGCACCUUCGUGGUGUGACUGCGUACCUUUUGUAUAAUGGGUCAGCGACUUAUAUUCUGUAGCAAGGUUAACCGUAUAGGGGAGCCGAAGGGAAACCGAGUCUUAACUGGGCGUUAAGUUGCAGGGUAUAGACCCGAAACCCGGUGAUCUAGCCAUGGGCAGGUUGAAGGUUGGGUAACACUAACUGGAGGACCGAACCGACUAAUGUUGAAAAAUUAGCGGAUGACUUGUGGCUGGGGGUGAAAGGCCAAUCAAACCGGGAGAUAGCUGGUUCUCCCCGAAAGCUAUUUAGGUAGCGCCUCGUGAACUCAUCUUCGGGGGUAGAGCACUGUUUCGGCUAGGGGGCCAUCCCGGCUUACCAACCCGAUGCAAACUACGAAUACCGAAGAAUGUUAUCACGGGAGACACACGGCGGGUGCUAACGUCCGUCGUGAAGAGGGAAACAACCCAGACCGCCAGCUAAGGUCCCAAAGUCAUGGUUAAGUGGGAAACGAUGUGGGAAGGCACAGACAGCCAGGAUGUUGGCUUAGAAGCAGCCAUCAUUUAAAGAAAGCGUAAUAGCUCACUGGUCGAGUCGGCCUGCGCGGAAGAUGUAACGGGGCUAAACCAUGCACCGAAGCUGCGGCAGCGACACUAUGUGUUGUUGGGUAGGGGAGCGUUCUGUAAGCCGUUGAAGGUGUGCUGUGAGGCAUGCUGGAGGUAUCAGAAGUGCGAAUGCUGACAUAAGUAACGAUAAAGCGGGUGAAAAGCCCGCUCGCCGGAAGACCAAGGGUUCCUGUCCAACGUUAAUCGGGGCAGGGUGAGUCGACCCCUAAGGCGAGGCCGAAAGGCGUAGUCGAUGGGAAACAGGUUAAUAUUCCUGUACUUGGUGUUACUGCGAAGGGGGGACGGAGAAGGCUAUGUUAGCCGGGCGACGGUUGUCCCGGUUUAAGCAUGUAGGCGGAACGAUUAGGUAAAUCCGGUCGUUUAUUAACGCUGAGGUGUGAUGACGAGGCACUACGGUGCUGAAGUAACAAAUGCCCUGCUUCCAGGAAAAGCCUCUAAGCAUCAGGUAACAUCAAAUCGUACCCCAAACCGACACAGGUGGUCAGGUAGAGAAUACCAAGGCGCUUGAGAGAACUCGGGUGAAGGAACUAGGCAAAAUGGUGCCGUAACUUCGGGAGAAGGCACGCUGAUAUGUAGGUGAAGCCCCUGCGGGUGGAGCUGAAAUCAGUCGAAGAUACCAGCUGGCUGCAACUGUUUAUUAAAAACACAGCACUGUGCAAACACGAAAGUGGACGUAUACGGUGUGACGCCUGCCCGGUGCCGGAAGGUUAAUUGAUGGGGUUAGCGGUAACGCGAAGCUCUUGAUCGAAGCCCCGGUAAACGGCGGCCGUAACUAUAACGGUCCUAAGGUAGCGAAAUUCCUUGUCGGGUAAGUUCCGACCUGCACGAAUGGCGUAAUGAUGGCCAGGCUGUCUCCACCCGAGACUCAGUGAAAUUGAACUCGCUGUGAAGAUGCAGUGUACCCGCGGCAAGACGGAAAGACCCCGUGAACCUUUACUAUAGCUUGACACUGAACACUGGUCCUUGAUGUGUAGGAUAGGUGGGAGGCUUUGAAGCGUGGACGCCAGUCUGCGUGGAGCCGUCCUUGAAAUACCACCCUUUAAUGGCUGGUGUUCUAACGUAGACCCGUAAUCCGGGUUGCGGACAGUGUCUGGUGGGUAGUUUGACUGGGGCGGUCUCCUCCCAAAGAGUAACGGAGGAGCACGAAGGUUAGCUAAUCCUGGUCGGACAUCAGGAGGUUAGUGCAAUGGCAUAAGCUAGCUUGACUGCGAGAGUGACGGCUCGAGCAGGUGCGAAAGCAGGUCAUAGUGAUCCGGUGGUUCUGAAUGGAAGGGCCAUCGCUCAACGGAUAAAAGGUACUCCGGGGAUAACAGGCUGAUACCGCCCAAGAGUUCAUAUCGACGGCGGUGUUUGGCACCUCGAUGUCGGCUCAUCACAUCCUGGGGCUGAAGUAGGUCCCAAGGGUAUGGCUGUUCGCCAUUUAAAGUGGUACGCGAGCUGGGUUUAGAACGUCGUGAGACAGUUCGGUCCCUAUCUGCCGUGGGCGCUGGAGAAUUGAGGGGGGCUGCUCCUAGUACGAGAGGACCGGAGUGGACGCAUCACUGGUGUUCGGGUUGUCAUGCCAAUGGCACUGCCCGGUAGCUAAAUGCGGAAAAGAUAAGUGCUGAAAGCAUCUAAGCACGAAACUUGCCCCGAGAUGAGUUCUCCCUGAGACUUUAAGUCUCCUGAAGGAACGUUGAAGACGACGACGUUGAUAGGUCGGGUGUGUAAGCGCAGCGAUGCGUUGAGCUAACCGAUACUAAUGAACCGUGAGGCUUAACCUUACAACGCCGAAGGUGUUU